AUAAUAUUGAGCAUUAUUGAACCAUGGACAGAAUCUUCCAUCUAAGCUGUUCUUCUGCCUCACCAUUCCAUUAAACCACAAAUUUAUUGGGCCCCCCCACUUCUAGGUUCAGUGAGAAAUGAGAUAUUUAAAUCUAUCACAGCAUCAGAUCUUUUAUGUGAAUAGAUUCAAAUAUCACUCUUUUAAGCUUGUCUUUGUUGCUGCUGAG